rnacentral:lncRNA from 1 species
GCUUUUAUUCUUCUAUAGUAAGAGAUUUGAUACGUACCGCAUUAAUUUGCAUGUCUUCCACCUCUGAAUACGAAUUCACACCGCUUGCCGACAUAGUUGGAGCAUGGCAAAUUGUAUGUUGUCUUGAGCAUUGGUCUUGGCGACGUUGGAAUAGGCGAUUAUCGCACUUCACAGCUUGGCUAAUAGCUUCAUUGAGUGUUCGUGGAUCAGGAAGAGUUAACAGCAAAUCCUUCACAUCAUCUCUUAAACCCCAAUAGAAUUGACUCAUCAACGCUUCUUCAUCCCAAUUGAUGUCGC